rnacentral:rRNA from 1 species
GGGGAAUAUUGGACAAUGGGCGAAAGCCUGAUCCAGCCAUGCCGCGUGAGUGAUGAAGGCUUUAGGGUUGUAAAGCUCUUUCGCCGAUGAAGAUAAUGACGGUAGUCGGAGAAGAAGCCCCGGCUAACUUCGUGCCAGCAGCCGCGGUAAUACGAAGGGGGCUAGCGUUGUUCGGAAUUACUGGGCGUAAAGCGAGCGUAGGUCGCUCGAUGUGUCAGUGGUGAAAUCCCGGGGCUCAACCUCGGAACUGCCAUUGAAACUGUCGAGCUGGAAUCUCAGAGGGGAUAGCGGAAUUCCAAAUGUAGGGGUGAAAUCCGUAGAUAUUUGGAGGAACACCGGUGGCGAAGGCGGCUAUCUGGAUGAGUAUUGACACUGAGGCUCGAAAGCGUGGGGAUCAAAC